rnacentral:rRNA from 1 species
CCUGACACAGGGAGGUAGUGACAAUAAAUAACAAUGCCGGGCCUAUACAGGUCUGGCAAUUGGAAUGAGAACAAUUUAAAUCCCUUAUCGAGUAUCAAUUGGAGGGCAAGUCUGGUGCCAGCAGCCGCGGUAAUUCCAGCUCCAAUAGCGUAUAUUAAAGUUGUUGCAGUUAAAAAGCUCGUAGUUGGAUUUCUGGCAGGAGCGACCGGUCACACACUCUGUGUGUGAACUUGUGUUGUCUCUGGCCAUCCUUGGGAAGAUCCUGUUUGGCAUUAAGUUGUCGGGCAGGGGAUACCCAUCGUUUACUGUGAAAAAUUAGAGUGUUUAAAGCAGGCUUAUGCCGUUGAAUAUAUUAGCAUGGAAUAAUAAGAUAGGACCUUGGUACUAUUUUGUUGGUUUGCGCACCAAGGUAAUGAUUAAUAGGGACAGUUGGGGGUAUUCGUAUUCCGUUGUCAGAGGUGAAAUUCUUGGAUUUACGGAAGACGAACUACUGCGAAAGCAUUUACCAAGGAUG